rnacentral:rRNA from 1 species
AGUGAACGCUGGCGGUAGGCCUAACACAUGCAAGUCGAACGGCAGCACAGUAAGAGCUUGCUCUUACGGGUGGCGAGUGGCGGACGGGUGAGGAAUACAUCGGAAUCUACUUUUUCGUGGGGGAUAACGUAGGGAAACUUACGCUAAUACCGCAUACGACCUACGGGUGAAAGCAGGGGAUCUUCGGACCUUGCGCGAUUGAAUGAGCCGAUGUCGGAUUAGCUAGUUGGCGGGGUAAAGGCCCACCAAGGCGACGAUCCGUAGCUGGUCUGAGAGGAUGAUCAGCCACACUGGAACUGAGACACGGUCCAGACUCCUACGGGAGGCAGCAGUGGGGAAUAUUGGACAAUGGGCGAAAGCCUGAUCCAGCCAUACCGCGUGGGUGAAGAAGGCCUUCGGGUUGUAAAGCCCUUUUGUUGGGAAAGAAAAGCAGCAGGUUAAUACCCCGCUGUUCUGACGGUACCCAAAGAAUAAGCACCGGCUAACCUCGUG